AUUAUUUCUUUGUUAGAGGUUUGAUAAAUAUUCAAUAUAAUUUUCUUUUUACUUUGACUUAAUUUUCAGUAAAAUUUACUUUUUAACACAUCUGGAAUUUGUUUCAGGGUAUGAUGUGAAGUGAAUACGUUUGAAUUUUAAAUAAUUUACUAUGCUGUGACCCAGCUGCCUGAUUUCCCGUACAAGUUGCCAAGUGCCCACUGAAAGAAGAAUGUUCUUAUAUUUUGUGUUCUUUGAGAUAAUAUUGGUUACUUUAUUAAGCAUGCUAGAGGUUUUUUUUUCUUUUUUUUUUUUUUUUACUGAGAAACCUAUGCCUCACUUCGUUUGUUUUCAAAAAGUUGAAUGAUCAGAAGGGUAUAAUUUAAUAAAAUAUUAUUUUGUAUAUUUUGUGUUUACCCUAUUUAUUACGAGAGUACACUUUAACAAACUACUGCAGGUACUUUCGGAUUUUCAGAAGUAUUUUAGCCUACAAUUGUUAAUAUAUGU
rnacentral:lncRNA from 1 species